UUUGACCUCGGAUCAGGUAGGGAAUACCCGC
rnacentral:rRNA from 2 species